ACAAGGUAUGGGGUUCAUCUUCCUUUCUAAGAUGCCCACCCGUAAGGAAAAGACAGUCUAUGGACGCAGAGAGGACUAGCCAUAAAUGAGCGGAGGAUGGAACUCGUCAUUCAUGUGUCCAAGUCACCUCCUGGGAUAGAAAUGAGUCUCUCAAAAGAAGAGUCUGCCUGAUCAGCAGAAAUCCCUUCCCACAGCACGUCAAGCAGCUGGUGCAUUUACUUCCCUAACCCGGGACACAGUGAGACAAGAGUUCUAAAAAAAUGAAUGGACUUCUGAGCACCCAGGACACACAUGGGAGAUCUGGGAAGACAGAAUCCACGCUCUGCUGGCUGAUUCGACUCUAAACAGAGGAAAUUCUCAUGUUCUGCUGAGCCAUCCGGAUGCUGGUAGAAUGAUGUUUGGAUGGAAUCACGCCUUUCU